GGGCCCAAAAAGAUGCUAGGUGUUGGAGGGUUUCCGCCCUUCAGUGCCGCAGCUAACGCAUUAAGCAUUCCGCCUGGGGAGUACGACCGCAAGGUUGAAACUCAAAGGAAUUGACGGGGGCCCGCACAAGCGGUGGAGCAUGUGGUUUAAUUCGAAGCAACGCGAAGAACCUUACCAGGUCUUGACAUCUUUUGAUCACCUGAGAGAUCAGGUUUCCCCUUCGGGGGCAAAAUGACAGGUGGUGCAUGGUUGUCGUCAGCUCGUGUCGUGAGAUGUUGGGUUAAGUCCCGCAACGAGCGCAACCCUUAUGACUAGUUGCCAGCAUUCAGUUGGGCACUCUAGUAAGACUGCCGGUGACAAACCGGAGGAAGGUGGGGAUGACGUCAAAUCAUCAUGCCCCUUAUGACCUGGGCUACACACGUGCUACAAUGGAUGGUACAACGAGUUGCGAGACCGCGAGGUCAAGCUAAUCUCUUAAAGCCAUUCUCAGUUCGGACUGUAGGCUGCAACUCGCCUACACGAAGUCGGAAUCGCUAGUAAUCGCGGAUCAGCACGCCGCGGUGAAUACGUUCCCGGGCCUUGUACACACCGCCCGUCACACCAUGAGAGUUUGUAACACCCGAAGCCGGUGGCGUAACCCUUUUAGGGAGCGAGCCGUCUAAGGUGGGACAAAUGAUUAGGGUGAAGUCGUAACAGGUAAAACCGUAAAUUUUUUU
rnacentral:rRNA from 1 species